rnacentral:pre_miRNA from 1 species
CUUUGGUGAUGAAUGGUGGUGGUUGAGGUGAUGAUGAUGAUGAUGAUGAUGAUCAUCAUCAUCAUCAUCAUCAUCAUCACCAUCAUCACCAUCACCA